GAUGAACGCUGGCGGCGUGCCUAAUACAUGCAAGUCGAGCGAACAGACGAGGAGCUUGCUCCUCUGACGUUAGCGGCGGACGGGUGAGUAACACGUGGAUAACCUACCUAUAAGACUGGGAUAACUUCGGGAAACCGGAGCUAAUACCGGAUAAUAUAUUGAACCGCAUGGUUCAAUAGUGAAAGACGGUUUUGCUGUCACUUAUAGAUGGAUCCGCGCCGCAUUAGCUAGUUGGUAAGGUAACGGCUUACCAAGGCAACGAUGCGUAGCCGACCUGAGAGGGGGAUCGGCCACACUGGAACUGAGACACGGUCCAGACUCCUACGGGAGGCAGCAGUAGGGAAUCUUCCGCAAUGGGCGAAAGCCUGACGGAGCAACGCCGCGUGAGUGAUGAAGGUCUUCGGAUCGUAAAACUCUGUUAUUAGGGAAGAACAAAUGUGUAAGUAACUAUGCACGUCUUGACGGCACCUAAUCAGAAAGCCACGGCUAACUACGUG
rnacentral:rRNA from 1 species